ensembl:snRNA U6 U6 spliceosomal RNA
GUGCUCACUUCAGCAGCAAAUACACUAAAAUUGGAAUAGCAUACAUAAGAUUAGCAUAGUCCCUGUGCAAAAGUGACAUGAAAAUUCGUGAAGCAUUCCAUAUUUUU